GACGAACGCUGGCGGCGUGCCUAAUACAUGCAAGUCGAACGCAGUGGGGACGGGUGAGUAACACGUGGGUAACCUCCCAUCAGAGGGGAUACCACUUGGAAACCGCAGCUAAACCGAUACUGAUGGCUCGACCCGUGGUGCAUUAGCUAGUUGGUGAGGUAACGGCACACAAAGGCCACGAUGCAUAGCCGACCUGGGAGGGUGAUCGGCCACACUGGGACUGAGACACGGCCCAGACUCCUACGGGAGGCAGCAGUAGGGAAUCUUCGGCAAUGGACGAAAGUCUGACCGAGCAACGCCGCGUGAGUGAAGAAGGUUUUCGGAUCGUAAUACUCUGUUGUUAGAGAAGCGGUAUCUAACCAGAAAGCCACGGCUAACUACGUGCCAGCAGCCGCGGUAAUUC
rnacentral:rRNA from 1 species